GAAACAUCUAAGUAGCUGCAGGAAGAGAAAGCAAAAGCGAUUGCCUUAGUAGCGGCGAGCGAAACGGCAGGAGGGCAAACCGAAGAGUUUACUCUUCGGGGUUGUAGGACUGCAAUGUGGACUCAAAGAUUAUAGAAGAAUGAUUUGGGAAGAUCAGCCAAAGAGAGUAAUAGCCUCGUAUUUAAAAUAGUCUUUGUACCUAGCAGUAUCCUGAGUACGG
rnacentral:rRNA from 1 species